rnacentral:lncRNA from 1 species
CCCUGGGGCUCAUGGAGGUGCCUCAGGUAGCUACCUGGCAAUCAUUCCAAUUUUCCAGCACAUUCAGGUAGAGUAGGGAGGCAGGUUCACCUGCUGAACUGAUUCCAGGGAUCGGGCAAGAAGUCAGCGGGCAGCAGGUGAUGUUGCCACUGUGAUCUCCUUCCAGUCGACUCUCCUCAGAAGAGAACAAGGCUGCCCCCCGGCCUUCAGCCCAGCUCUCCUGUUUUCUCAUCACCUCAGCAGGACAGGAAAGACAGAGGCUGCCAGAACCAAGGCCCGUACCUGUUUGCCUCUUUACCCCUGAGAGCUCCCUGGGGCUCCUGGGGACUCCUCAGCUUGCUGCUGCUGCUGGUAAGUCGCUUCAGUCAUGUCCGAUUCUGUGUGACCCCAUAGAUGGCAGCUCACCAGGCUCCCCUGUCCCUGGGAUUCUCCAGGCAAGAACACUGGAGUGGGGUGCCAUUUCCUUCUCCAGUGCAUGAAAGUGA